rnacentral:rRNA from 1 species
UACGAAGGGGGCUAGCGUUGCUCGGAAUCACUGGGCGUAAAGCGCACGUAGGCGGCUUCUUAAGUCAGGGGUGAAAUCCUGGAGCUCAACUCCAGAACUGCCUUUGAUACUGAGAAGCUUGAGUCCGGGAGAGGUGAGUGGAACUGCGAGUGUAGAGGUGAAAUUCGUAGAUAUUCGCAAGAACACCAGUGGCGAAGGCGGCUCACUGGCCCGGUACUGACGCUGAGGCACGAAAGCGUGGGGAGCAAACAGG